rnacentral:rRNA from 1 species
CAAUAUAAGUGAUGGCAACCGGCGCACGGGUGAGUAACACGUAUCCAACCUGCCGAUAACUCGGGGAUAGCCUUUCGAAAGAAGGAUUAAUACCCGAUGGUAUAAUAAAACCGCAUGGUUUAAUUAUUAAAGAAUUUCGGUUAUCGAUGGGGAUGCGUUCCAUUAGGCAGUUGGUGAGGUAACGGCUCACCAAACCUUCGAUGGAUAGGGGUUCUGAGAGGAAGGUCCCCCACAUUGGAACUGAGACACGGUCCAA